CCUACGGGAGGCAGCAGUGGGGAAUAUUGGACAAUGGGCGAAAGCCUGAUCCAGCCAUGCCGCGUGUGUGAAGAAGGCCUUCGGGUUGUAAAGCACUUUCAGUGGGGAAGAAAGCCUUGGGGCUAAUAUCCUCGAGGAAGGACAUCACCCACAGAAGAAGCACCGGCUAACUCCGUGCCAGCAGCCGCGGUAAUACGGAGGGUGCGAGCGUUAAUCGGAAUUACUGGGCGUAAAGCGCGCGUAGGCGGUCUGAUAAGCCGGUUGUGAAAGCCCCGGGCUCAACCUGGGAACGGCAUCCGGAACUGUCAGGCUAGAGUGCAGGAGAGGAAGGUAGAAUUCCCGGUGUAGCGGUGAAAUGCGUAGAGAUCGGGAGGAAUACCAGUGGCGAAGGCGGCCUUCUGGACUGACACUGACGCUGAGGUGCGAAAGCGUGGGUAGCAAACAGGAUUAGAUACCCGAGUAGUC
rnacentral:rRNA from 1 species